GAGUUUGAUCCUGGCUCAGAUUGAACGCUGGCGGCAUGCCUUACACAUGCAAGUCGAACGGCAGCACGGGAGCUUGCUCCUGGUGGCGAGUGGCGAACGGGUGAGUAAUGCAUCGGAACGUAUCCUGGAGUGGGGGAUAACGUAGCGAAAGUUACGCUAAUACCGCAUAUUCUGUGAGCAGGAAAGCGGGGGACCUUCGGGCCUCGCGCUCUUGGAGCGGCCGAUGUCGGAUUAGCUAGUUGGUGAGGUAAAGGCUCACCAAGGCGACGAUCCGUAGCAGGUCUGAGAGGAUGAUCUGCCACACUGGAACUGAGACACGGUCCAGACUCCUACGGGAGGCAGCAGUGGGAAUUUUGGACAAUGGGGGCAACCCUGAUCCAGCCAUGCCGCAUGAGUGAAGAAGGCCUCGG
rnacentral:rRNA from 1 species